rnacentral:lncRNA from 1 species
GUUUUCUUACUUUUUUCUGCGGGUAUUCUUAUUAGGGUUUGUUUGGUGCACCGGUUUUAGAUUAUGAAAUCGGUAUGAAAUUCAUUAAUUUCAUGAAUCGAAUCCCAAUUUUCAUUUCAAAGUGGAAUGGGAAUGGCUAAAAACAUUUUUGGCCCAAUCUAGUUUUAAAUUUUGGAUUAUCCCAUUCUAAACUAAAUCACUGAAAAAUCUCUCUCAUUGACACCUCCUCUUCCUAACCCCCUUCUCAUCAUUCUUCUCUCUCAACCCAAACUCUCUUUCAAAAUUCUAAAUAUGCAUUCCGAUUUUCAUUCCACUGACGAACUAAAUAUUUUUAGAUGAUUCGUUAUUCUAUUUUUCAUUUCAUUACAAUUCAAUUUUAUUUUCAAUUCUAGUUUAAUCAUGAACCAAAAAUGCUCUGAAAGUGCUUCUCAAUUGAUGUAGUGCAACAACGAAUAAAAGUAAUGCUAGAUUGUACAUCUUACACCGCACUUAUUCAAUGCAUCACUCUCUACUUAUCUUAUCAAUUUUUUAUUUUUAACUAAAAUUCGAUAUAAACUUUUUGUCAAUCAUAUGAU